GUAUCUAGCACAAUGUGUUGUACACAGUAACCCUUUGAAAACAGUUUUGUACUCACUCAAAAAACAUUUCUUUAUGGAGGAUCAAAGUUCAUGAUCAAAUGAACUGAACUACUUGUUCUUGGCAGGGAACAGCUCCCUCAGAGGCCCAACCAGGAUGAGGCAGAGCCUUUCAAGAGAGAUAAAGGAAAACAGAGCUGAUAGCAGGGGUGAACUAAUUUGCAACACACCAGACUUCUGAGAGGGUCUGCCUAUUAUCAGCCAGCCCCCGUGGGUUCAUCUUUACAGCAUCUGAAACUAGGACAAGAGCCAAAUUUUCCAAAAUGCCAGAAGGGGUAACAAAGAAGUAACCAGUUGGAAGCUGAGGACUGGCAAAGUUCAAGACAAAAAUGAAGAAGCUGUGAUAAAGUCCCUCAAGCUUCAUGUGGCUGUACCUCCAGAGGCACCUGAGGGUUCCUACACUCUGAGAGGAUCAAGAAGAACAGAUGUACAAUCCACUUACUUUUGAGAUGAUAUUCAUCUAAUGCUGACCCUCUUGUCUAUUUGGGUAUCACCCCAUAAACUGAGCGGCCUGGUGGGAUGAAGGGCACAGGAUAACUGAGUGAGUUUCUACACAGAUCAAUUCAUUCAAUUCUUUGCUCAAACAUGACCCUCCUCAUCAGUGGCUUCCUUAUUUAACAUAGCCAGUUACUCUUUAUUCUCUCAUUCUGUUUGGUUUUAUUCAUAGCAUUUGUUUAUCACUAUUCCAAUUUAUACGAGUUGUUAAUUUGCCAAAUAUUAACCAGAAUGUAAGUUUGAUGAGGAAAGAAGCCUUUCUCAUUUUCACCUGUGUGUCCAUUGCCUAGAAGAAUAUCUGGUGCAUGGCAGGCACUCAGUUUCUAUUGAAUGAAUUAUGAGUGAAUGAAUGAAUGAUCUUU
rnacentral:lncRNA from 1 species